rnacentral:rRNA from 1 species
AUACAGAGGCCCCAAGCAUUAUCCGGAUUCACUGGGCGUAAAGGGUACGUAGGCGGUGUUAUUAGUCGGGUGUUAAAUCCUGGGGCUCAACCCCAGACUCGCAUUCGAAACGGUAACACUAGAAGAAGUAAGAGGUGAGCAGAACUCUCGGUGUAGGGGUGAAAUCCGUUGAUAUCGAGGGGAAUACCAAAUGCGAAGGCAGCUCACUGGUACUUUCUUGACGCUGAGGUACGAAAGCGUGGGUAGCGAACGGGAUUAGAAACCCCGGUAGUCC